rnacentral:lncRNA from 1 species
AAGGAAUGAAGGGACACAAAGUCAAAAUGUGUAAGAAACUGUCCUACCUAGGUAAGGCCCAAAAUUGUUUUUAUUGUGUCUUCAAUUUUCACUGAAAAACAUUGCUUGUUAUCAGAAGACUGAG